GAGCUAGAUACACUUUCAUCAGAAAGAGCCAGAUCCUUCAUAACUUGGCUUAGAGACAGCAGACCAUUAAGUCCAAUCCUUCACAUAGUAAAAGAUGAGAGUCCUGCCAAAGCAGAAUUUUUUCAGCAUUUGAUUGAAGACCGGACAGAGGCUGCAUUUUCUUACUAUGAAUUUUUGCUUCAUGUUCAGCAGCAGAUUUGUAAGUGAAGUAGAAUAAAAUUGAAUAAGAAAAAGAUCUAUAACCUAGGUAAAGCAUAAUCUGUCAGAGAAGCGCGUGAGAAAUUUGAAAUGAAGGCAUUUGUUAAUACAAGAUGCAACGCACAGCACUCUGUCUGAGGCUUUGGUAAAAAGUAAAGGGGAAGAAAGAACUUGACAGAUCUUUUUCAACUCAAAUUAAUGGUAACGAUGAUGCUGUUUCACCAAGUAUAUUUUGAAUUGGUUUCUACACAUUUCCAGUAGUAUGGCAGUACAGUGCUCUGUUCAUUGCAAGCUGGCAAAUUUAUGUAGCUAUGUGGAAUGAUAUGUCAUAAUGUAAAAUUAGAUAAAUUCUUUUUUCUUAUAAUUAAUAUAACAUUUCUGGACUUGAACUCUGGCAAGAGAUGCCAAAAGGCAUUGGUACCGUGUUAUUUGUUUAUAUGAAUUACUUUUUAACAAGGAAUGUUUCUUAUUCAUUAAAUGAAUUCAACAUUUUCUCUGUAAAAACAAUAGAGUUUCAGUACAUGAACUAUAGAAAAAAAUCUAUAUAUAAUGUACAUAAAUGUUACAUUUGUAAAGAAAAUGUAAAAAUGUAACUAUAGCAUAUGAAUUGCUUAAACUGUGCUGCAUUGUUGGAUGACAACUCUUUUUGUCACAGUUAGAGAAUGAGGUUGACUAAUGCAUAUUAUGAAUUGAGUCCACAAAGGAACACAAAACUCUUUGUAAUUCUGUUAAAUCUUUUAUGUAGAUUUAUUUAUGAUCAGCCUACUAAUUAAAACUAUUUCGCUUGAC
rnacentral:lncRNA from 1 species